rnacentral:misc_RNA from 1 species
CAACAGUCGUUCCUGGAUUCAGAUUCAGACCAAAACUCCAGUUAACAUUCUAUGGCUUUACCCAAAUCACAUCUAAUUCUAUAAGGUCACGGCUGUGGGGCCCGAAAUUCAAUUUGAAAUCGACGGCUUUUGUCUCGCCUGUGAUUGUGAAUCCUGCACUUUAUCGUGACAUUAGUCUUUUCGCAAUUCUACAACAAACAAAAGCCUCCGCUGCCAACCGCCUAAGCAAAAAUCAGUUCGCUUCUUCUUUUUCUUUUUCAUUUUUUUUCUUUCAUUUGCCAAAAUUUCCCGAAGGAGAAUUUUGUUCAAAGUCUCUGAUUUUCCGGGAAAGUUUUGGCUACCAGGUGCUAUUGCCCUUCUAGGUAUCACUGCCUUCAAUGGUUCCUCUACCUGCCCAGCAGAUGGUAGAUCAAUGCAGUUGACUGCUAUAGAAGAUCAAGUGAACAUGGUUGAAGAGUGAUAGAAACCAAGUAUUUGGGAGCAUAGAAUAUGCUUCAUUGACAUUAUAAAGAUUUUACUGAAGCUGAAUUCUUUCUUUUAUCAAGCGAGCUAUACAUAUUGACUUGUUCAAUAGCAUUAUUGUAUGAUCCUGCUCCAUGGGAUGGAGGGGAGCUUUCUGUUCUUUGUUUUUCCUUUUCACCUUGGUCGAAUCUACAAGUAGUUCAGGGAAAGUUUGGACCUUAUAUCUGGGCACAAAUUCUCUUGUAAAUGUCAGCUGGCCAAUCUUCAGUGCUAGCAUAUUUGUGCUUGUUGCUCUUGUCCUGUCCAUGUACCUUAUUUUUGAGCAUUUAGCUGCUUACAAUCAGCCAGAGGAGCAAAAGUUUCUUAUUGGACUCAUUCUGAUGGUUCCCGUCUAUUCUCUUGAAUCGUUUUUAUCUUUGUUGGAUUCAAGUGCUGCGUUCAACUGCGAAGCAAUUAGGGACUGUUACGAAGCUUUUGCAUUGUAUUGCUUUGAGAGAUAUCUGAUAGCCUGCUUAGGUAUUGCCAUUUGUAACUUUAUAGUCUGAUAUCCUCCAAUCUUCAUAAAUUUUUGCAAACCUUUAUUUUAUUUGACCACAUUUUGCUGCUUUAAGGUGGUGAGGAAAGUACUGUUCAGUUCAUGGAAAGUAAGACCCUAAUCACCUCUAGUAUGCCUCUUUUGGAGGAGUCUUAUGCAUGUGGAUUUGUAGAGCAUCCCUUUCCACUGAACUGCUUUCUGAGGAAUUGGCAACUUGGUCCUGACUUCUAUCAUGCUGUGAAAGUGGGCAUUGUGCAAUAUGUAUGUGGUUGUUUGUUGGACUAAAUCAUUUCUCUUUGUUACAAAAUCAACAAUUUAAAUUGCUCAAGACACAUUUGCUAUCCAGAUGAUAUUGAAGAUGAUCUGUGCACUCUUAGCAAUGAUUUUUGAGGCUUUUGGGGUUUAUGGAGAAGGCAAAUUUGAGUGGAGAUAUGGCUAUCCAUACAUGGCAGUUGUUCUUAAUUUCAGUCAAAGCUGGGCCCUAUAUUGCCUUGUGCAGUUUUAUUCUGUCAUUAAAGACAAAUUAGCACCAAUUAAACCGCUGGCCAAGUUUCUGACAUUCAAGUCAAUUGUUUUCCUGACGUGGUGGCAAGGUGUUGUUGUUGCAUUUCUUUUCUCCAUGGGAGCCUUCAGAGGAUCUCUAGCUCAGGAGCUGAAAACACGUAUACAAGACUACAUCAUCUGUAUUGAGGUGUGUAAUUGAAAAAUGCUUUAAUUAUAGAUAAAAUUUGUGACACAGGGAGACUUUUCAUUAUCUAGUGGCUGAGCAUACUUUCAUUUGCAUAGAUAUUCAAUGAUAUUUAGCUUUAAUGGUUCAUUUAUGUUAACACCCAUAGAAAUGCUUAUCCUACUUUUUGUUUACUUAUUGAAUUUUUUUUUAAGUUGCAGGUGAGGUAAGUGUUUCUAAUUGUUUUCCUUGGCCAUAGCUGAGACAGGAGAAUGAUAUUUACAUGGUUGGGAAAGGAAUGUGAAACCUGAUAAUAAUGUUGUAUUAACUCUUUUACUUGAUUUUAGCAUGCCAUCUUGAACCAAAUAACUUUUUCAAACAUGUGAAGGAUGAUAAGUUGUGUUAUCCUGACACUGGAUAUGACAAUUUAUUGAUUAAUGUGUCUAGUAAGCACUUCAGCAAUGUGAGUAAUUGUGUCACUGAAAUGGAGAUCUCUAGUCCAUUGAUGACUGCCCAUUUGAUUGGCCUUCUUUUAGGUGAAUCUGAAACUACCGAUAAAACUAUCAUAUAAGAGGAAUCCUGCCUCGUAUAUCUUUACAUAUUGACAAAAAACCAUUGCUGCAUCAAGUAUUCUCAGGAUAAUGCUUCUUUUCAUUUGCAGUACCAUUUCUGAUUGAAUCAUAUUAGGAUAAAUUGUUGCAUCUGAUUUUCUGAAAGUUGAAGGAGCUAUCUGAUAGCACAUUUGUGAAGCAGAUGGGUAUUGCAGCAGUAGUACAUCUGUAUGUCUUCCCUGCUGUGCCAUACAAGCGUGGAGAGAGAUGUGUUCGUAAUGUGUCUGUGAUGACUGACUAUGCAUCUGUAGGAUCACCUCCAGAUCCAGAAGAGGUCCAAGAUUGUGAGAGGUACAGCAGGAUAUGCCUAGCUCGGCAUGAUGAAAGAGAAAAGCGAUUGAAUUUUCCCCAGAGUGUUCGUGACGUGGUUGUUGGUAGUGGUGAAAUUAUUGUUGAUGACAUGAAGUAUACAGUUUCACAUGUUGUGGAGCCAGUUGAAAGGGGAAUUGCAAAAAUAAAUAGGACCUUCCAUCAGAUUUCUGAAAAUGUGAAACGUCAUGAGGAGCGAAAGAGGAGCUCUAAGGAUGACAAUUAUCUCGUCCCCUUGAAUUCAUGGAUGAAGGAAUUUUCUGAAGCUCAUGACAACCUCCUUGAAGGCAGUGUCAGUGACAGUAGUUUGCCUAAUAGCAAGAGACCCCCUUAUCAUUCCAAAGCCACUGCAUCAAGGGCAAGGACUGACAGAUGAUGAAGAAAGGGAUGCAUUAUAUGAAUAUGGAGUAACAGUUGGCAUUUUUGAAUUCAUCAUUGCCUUUGAACAACAUCAAAUCAUCAAUGUUCUUGGUGAGUCUGUUAAAAUAUUCAAAUUUCUUGGUCCACUUCCUCACACAUGAUGUUUUGUUUCGACGGUGAAGAACUCGUCGACACUAAACCUUGAUUUUCUAACUGAAUGUACAGAGAAGAUACUACAGCUACAAACAUCCAUGGAAGCUUAUUUAACUUUCUGUGGAGUUAAAAAAAAAAGUACAAAAAUUUAGGCUUUAGAUUGUCGACUAUGAAGCUUAAAGUCAUUCUCUUGUAAAUUGAAAAGUACCACGGAUGAUGGCUUCAUUAGCCCUUACGGGAAAAUAAAAUGAACAUCAUGUCUGCCCCUUGUGUUGUGCAAUUAUGACAACAUCUUUUGCAGAAUGUCGAAGAA